CCUAAUGGCCCACCACCUCCUUUUCUGUCAUCCAUCACCAUUCACCAUUCGCGCACGCCACCCAACCAGCAGAACAUUUCUUUUUUUUUUAAAUAUAUAUAUUUAAUUUAUUUAUAAAAUUAAAUAUGAAAAUAUAUGUCAUAUGGCUGUUUGUUGGGCUUGAAGGGCAUAAAAAGUCAUGGGUCUUGGUGGUGAAAUUUGCACGGGUUCCUUUCCAACUUCUCUAUAUAACCAUAUCAACAAGGAACCCCAUCUGGCUGCAGUGGUGCAACCGAGCUAGGUGCCGCAACUCUAUAUAACGCGUUAUGCGAUCUCCACUAUCUCUCAAUCAACAUUAAUUAGUUUGGCUUGUAGAUCCGGAUCACAUAUCACUUAUCAGUACAGUGUUGCUCCAAAUUCAUUUUAUCUUUUAGUUGCAGUUAUUAACUAGUUGUUCGCCUUUAAACAACAUUUGUUUUAUUCAUAUAUGCCGAGUUUAUAAUGUAUGCUUUUAUCUGGUUGUCCGAUAAAGUGAUAACUUGAUAAA